GGGGAAUAUUGCGCAAUGGACGGAAGUCUGACGCAGCGACGCCGCGUGAGCGACGAAGGCCUUCGGGUCGUAAAGCUCUGUUCUUGGGGACGAAUAAAGUGACGGUACCCAAGGAGCAAGCCCCGGCUAACUACGUGCCAGCAGCCGCGGUAACACGUAGGGGGCAAGCGUUGUCCGGAAUUACUGGGCGUAAAGGGCGUGUAGGCGGCCAUGUAUGUCAGGUGUGAAAGGCCUCGGCUUAACCGAGGCAUUGCACAUGAAACUGUAUGGCUUGAGUGCAGGAGAGGGGAGUGGAAUUCCUAGUGUAGCGGUGAAAUGCGUAGAUAUUAGGAGGAACACCAGUGGCGAAGGCGACUUCCUGGACUGUAACUGACGCUGAGGCGCGAAAGCGUGGGUAGCAAAC
rnacentral:rRNA from 1 species